CAAUAUUUCAUUGACGUAUAAAAUUAAUUACCCUAAUUGAACUACAUAUGGUAGCCAAUACGCAUUGUGACACACCUAAACCCAACAAUACGCCUUAAACAGGCGUGUCAGGGCCAACGUCAAGACACUACUCAGUAAAUCUUAGGUCCAAACAACACACCCACAACACCAAUGUUCUAUAUUACAGUAGCUAGGAAACUAGGCCUUAGAAAAAAGAAUAAGGAGUGACAAAAGGGGUGCCAGCAGUCGCGGUUACACCCCUACUCUAAAUUAAUUGCAACCCACCUCAGAAGGUAAAUACCCAAAGACUAUUAAGCCAACUUACAACGUAAAAAGACAAAUUUAUAAGCCAGACCCAAACAAGUCAUUCUUACACCUAUUCUUACAAACCACAAAACGAAACUCGGAUUAGAUACCCGACUAUUGCGUGGCCCAACAGUAAAAAGAAAACUAAGAGCGAAAGCUUAAACCUCAAACAAUGUGGCGGUACUUUAUCACAUGUCAGGGGAUCCUGUAUCUUAAAUCGAUAAUCCACGAACAAUCAAAGCUUCUCUAGUAAUCAGCUUGUGUAUGGCCGUUUACGCUUGCUCAAAAAAGACUCAAUAGGAAGCAAAAAGAAAACACUUCAAUCAAUUCAGGUGACAUACAGCCAAUGAGAAGCUGACUUAUGGGAUACAAAUAAACAGAAUUAACAGAUUAGGCCUUAAAACCCCUAUGAAGGAGGACUUGAAAGUAAAAUGACACACACGUAGUGCAUUUGGACAAGAACUAAAGUGCGCACAAAUCGCCCGUCACUCCUGCGCCUAAAGCGGGAUAAGUCGUAACACAGUAGGGGUAAUGGAAAUUGCCCCUAUCC
rnacentral:rRNA from 1 species